CCAGCUACUUUGCAAUGUAAAAUGUGAUGCUCUCCUGUUGUUCUUAUCCCCAAGCUGCUGGAGACCCAAAAGAAGAUGAACUCUAUGAAGCAGCCAUAAUAGAAACUAACUGCAUUUACCGUCUCAUGGAUGACAAACUUGUUCCUGAUGACGACUACUGGGGGAAAAUUCCAAAAUGCUCCCUUCUGCAACCCAAAGAGGUACUGGUGUUUGAUUUUGGUAGUGAAGUUUACGUAUGGCAUGGGAAAGAAGUCACAUUAGCACAACGAAAAAUAGCAUUUCAGCUGGCAAAGCACUUAUGGAAUGGAACCUUUGACUAUGAGAACUGUGACAUCAAUCCCCUGG
rnacentral:sRNA from 1 species